rnacentral:rRNA from 1 species
AACGAACGCUGGCGGCAGGCCUAACACAUGCAAGUCGAACGCACCGCAAGGUGAGUGGCGCACGGGUGAGUAACACGUGGGAAUGUAUCCUUUGGUUCGGAAUAACGUCUGGAAACGGACGCUAAUACCGGAUGAGCCCUUAGGGGGAAAGAUUUAUCGCCAAAGGAGCAGCCCGCGUCUGAUUAGGUAGUUGGUGGGGUAAAGGCCUACCAAGCCGACGAUCAGUAGCUGGUCUGAGAGGAUGAUCAGCCACACUGGGACUGAGACACGGCCCAGACUCCUACGGGAGGCAGCAGUGGGGAAUAUUGGACAAUGGGCGCAAGCCUGAUCCAGCCAUGCCGCGUGAGUGAUGAAGGCCUUCGGGUUGUAAAGCUCUUUCGCACACGACGAUGAUGACGGUAGUGUGAGAAGAAGCCCCGGCUAACUUCGUGCCAGCCGCCGCAGUAAAAC